AUUGAACGCUGGCGGCAGGCCUAACACAUGCAAGUCGAGCGGAUGAAGGGAGCUUGCUCCUGGAUUCAGCGGCGGACGGGUGAGUAAUGCCUAGGAAUCUGCCUGGUAGUGGGGGAUAACGUCCGGAAACGGGCGCUAAUACCGCAUACGUCCUGAGGGAGAAAGUGGGGGAUCUUCGGACCUCACGCUAUCAGAUGAGCCUAGGUCGGAUUAGCUAGUUGGUGCGGUAAAGGCCUACCAAGGCGACGAUCCGUAACUGGUCUGAGAGGAUGAUCAGUCACACUGGAACUGAGACACGGUCCAGACUCCUACGGGAGGCAGCAGUGGGGAAUAUUGGACAAUGGGCGAAAGCCUGAUCCAGCCAUGCCGCGUGUGUGAAGAAGGUCUUCGGAUUGUAAAGCACUUUAAGUUGGGAGGAAGGGCAGUAAGUUAAUACCUUGCUGUUUUGACGUUACCAACAGAAUAAGCACCGGCUAACUUCGUG
rnacentral:rRNA from 1 species